rnacentral:rRNA from 1 species
GACGAACGCUGGCGGCGUGCUUAACACAUGCAAGUCGAACGGGCCCGCUCUCUUUUUUGGGGGUGGGUUGAGUGGCGAACGGGUGAGUAUCACGUGAGUAACCUGCCCCCUGCUCCUGAUAAACUCCUGAAAAGGGCGCCUAUUAGGGGGGUUCCGGCUUGUCCGCCAUGGCCCGGUCGGGGUAGUUUCAAUCUUCGGUGUUUCCGUUGGGGAUUGGGCUCGCGGCCUAUCAGCUUGUUGGUGGGGUGAUGGCCCACCAAGGCGGUGACGGGUAGCCGGCCUGAGAGGGUGGGCGGCCACACUGGGACUGAGACACGGCCCAGACUCCUGCGGGAGGCAGCAGUGGGGGGUAUUGCACAAUGGGCGGAAGCCUGAUGCAGCGACGUCGCGUGAGGGAUGGAGGCCUUCGGGUUGUGAACCUCUUUCUCCGGUGGUGAAGGCCCUGUCCGUUGCGGCGGGGUUGACGGUAGCCGGGUAUGAAGCGCCGGCUAACUACGU